UACAGAGGGGGCAAGCGUUGUUCGGAAUUACUGGGCGUAAAGGGCGCGUAGGCGGCCUUCUAAGUCAGACGUGAAAUCCCUCGGCUCAACCGGGGAACUGCGUCUGAGACUGGAAGGCUUGAAUCCGGGAGAGGGAUGUGGAAUUCCAGGUGUAGCGGUGAAAUGACGUAGAUAUCUGGAGGAACACCGGUGGCGAAGGCGGCAUCCUGGACCGGUAUUGACGCUGAGGCGCGAAAGCCAGGGGAGCAAACGGG
rnacentral:rRNA from 1 species